rnacentral:rRNA from 1 species
UACGUAGGGGGCAAGCGUUGUCCGGAUUUAUUGGGCGUAAAGAGCGUGUAGGCGGUCAGGUAGGUCGGUUGUGAAAACUGGAGGCUCAACCUUCAGAGGUCGACCGAAACCCCCUGGCUAGAGUCCGGGAGAGGAGAGUGGAAUUCCCGGUGUAGCGGUGAAAUGCGCAGAUAUCAGGAAGAACACCCGUGGCGAAAGCGGCUCUCUGGAACGGUACUGACGCUGAGACGCGAAAGCGUGGGGAGCGAACAGG